rnacentral:rRNA from 1 species
UGGUGGGUAGUUUGACUGGGGCGGUCUCCUCCUAAAGAGUAACGGAGGAGCACGAAGGUUGGCUAAUCCUGGUCGGACAUCAGGAGGUUAGUGCAAUGGCAUAAGCCAGCUUGACUGCGAGCGUGACGGCGCGAGCAGGUGCGAAAGCAGGUCAUAGUGAUCCGGUGGUUCUGAAUGGAAGGGCCAUCGCUCAACGGAUAAAAGGUACUCCGGGGAUAACAGGCUGAUACCGCCCAAGAGUUCAUAUCGACGGCGGUGUUUGGCACCUCGAUGUCGGCUCAUCACAUCCUGGGGCUGAAGUAGGUCCCAAGGGUAUGGCUGUUCGCCAUUUAAAGUGGUACGCGAGCUGGGUUUAGAACGUCGUGAGACAGUUCGGUCCCUAUCUGCCGUGGGCGCUGGAGAACUGAGGGGGGCUGCUCCUAGUACGAGAGGACCGGAGUGGACGCAUCACUGGUGUUCGGGUUGUCAUGCCAAUGGCACUGCCCGGUAGCUAAAUGCGGAAGAGAUAAGUGCUGAAAGCAUCUAAGCACGAAACUUGCCCCGAGAUGAGUUCUCCCUGAGACUUAGAGUCUCCUGAAGGAACGUUGAAGACGACGACGUUGAUAGGCCGGGUGUGUAAGCGCAGCGAUGCGUUGAGCUAACCGGUACUA